rnacentral:rRNA from 1 species
GUCUAUGGCCAUACCUCCCUGAACACGCCCUAUCUCAUCUUGGUCUCAGAAGCUAAAAAGGGUCAGGCCUGGUUGGUACUUAGAUGGGAGACAGAUCUUCAGAGGAGACUGCUCAGACA